AUGGAGAAGAGAAAAGGCAAAAGUGGAUCACAGCCUGGUGUCUCCAGACCUGUGUUCAACACGUGCCACCAUCCUGUUGUCAUGACGACGUCUCUGUCACAUGAGGAGGUGGGUGACAGUAACGUUAACACAACUAUCAGAAUAAUAAUAAUUAUUAUUAAAACUAUCAAAUGUGUCUAUGAUGAAAACUGUGAAUAGGAAGUGCCGUCUGAUGCGACAACUGACGAUGUUGCUUGAUCACUGUUCUGAGCCUCGAAGCUUCCAUCUGAUUUCUAUCGUUUUUGGCGAACGGAACCUAAUCAGUUUGUUUUCACAUCUUUAACACAGGUCAGGACGGCGUCUGUUCACGCUGACGGGAAGUCGAGCCCGAGGUUGGUUCAACAAUGCACUUUGACACGAGUUGAAACAUCCCAAUGUAGUGAUGAACCCUAAACUGAAAUAGCUGGAAUUACCGUCAGAUUGUUCAGUGGUGUCAAUCGGUUUUCUGAACUUUACGAUACGCUUAUGUUCACUGUCGCGAUGAAAGAGUUGCGGUACAAAUCAAAAUCUUUUUUCUUUCUGUAGUUUAAAAUGAAACGUGAGCUUCCGUCGGACACGGUGAAGCCGAGGCCAGGACAACACACCAGCUGAAGACCGGCUGUUUGGAACAAUGGGUAAGUCGACGAACACCUUCAGCAGGAAGUGGCGAGGUCUCGUUCACUCUUUUGAAAAUACUAUGCCGACGUAAUCUUUGCUCUCCGCUGCUCAUCUAAUGUAGUCUUUCCUUCUCUGCCUAGUUCCCUUGAAACGCCGGGUUCUCUCAUCCCCCACCAGCUGAAGGAAGAGUUUGUUUGCAGGUGAGUUUUUCCCUCUUUUUUUUCAAUUUGAAAAUGUCAAUUUGCAGCUUUCCGUUGUGAUGAAACCUAAACUGAAAUAGCUGGAAUUACCGUCAGAUUGUUCAGUGGUGAUCUUUGGUUUUCUGAACACUAAGUUGAUAAUGGCACCGUGUGAAGACUGGACUUGAUCAUUUCUUGUUUUUUUUAAUCGAUUCAAACUUUGCUCUUGUUUCAGAAAGACAACUUCACCUGUGCACCUUCAGCUACACCUUCGAGAUAGUACUUUGUAAGUUAAUUUGGAGUUUCACGGCCUUUAUGUAAAAAAACUGCAAAAGGCUUUUUUUCCCCUUUUUUGUUUAGAAACUCACCUUUGUACAGUGAAGAUGCUCAGUUCUUGGCCAGUUUGAACAUCGGAAAUGAACAAGAGCUCCUUCUGCAAUCGGAGACCGGCAGUCUUAAGAUUUCAGACCUGUCUCAUAAUGAGCUGAUCCAGUCAUCGAUAGCAAACAUUUAAAUCCAACCUCGAUGACUCCAGUUGACCCAAGGCCUGUGCAGGGUGACUUCAGGUUUAACACCGGGUUUUCUGUCCUACGAAGCUGGUUCUGUUCUCACUGGGACUUUAAUCUCAGGUUAAGUCCACAAUCAGGGAUCAAAGCCAGUCACCAGUCCAACUACUGACCAAUCAGAUCACCGGAAAACCAGAGUUUUCUACAGGAUCCUGACUGGGACAUAAGAGUUUACAGUAACGUGACAAAAAAUAAAGUGCAGCAGAAAUUGAGUUAACAGUGUAAUUUGUAAUUAACAACUCCACUUCACUCUAACUAAUUACUGGUAAAUAUGCCAAAUAACUAAAUUUUAGGUUUGAGUGCAUUGACAUGAUGUACAAAGGUGAAAUAAUCAAAAAGCUAAACGAGUCUGUGAUGAAAACCUGGAAUAGGAAGUGCCGUCUGAUGCGACAACUGACGAUUGUUUCAAAUCCACUUUUCUGAGACUUUAAAAGCUGCGCUGAACAGAUUUUUUUUUUAAUAUGGUGUUAUUAAUUUCAAUUUUUUUCUUUUUUUACAGAUGCUGUUCUACCAGUGUGAUCCCACCCCCUGACAUCGGCGGUCCAGUGAUGUGACAGGUACGGUUUUCAUGCUGCAUUACACCAAUGUGUCACGUCUGUUGUUAUGAUGAACCCUAAACUGAAAUAGCUGGAAUUACCGUCAGAUUGUUCAGUGGUGAUACUCGGUUUUCUGAACACGACACUGCUGCGUUACACUGUGCACUUGAAUUAAAUUACAUGUGGAAUAACUUCCUCUCAUCCUGCAGGAUUGGAACCAAAUGGCUCCGGAGUCCAUUUCUUCUGCAGGUGACAAGGGGACUCGUAGAAGAUGGGACGUUGACGUGAUUGUUCAAAUCAUUUGAUUUCAUGUUAUAAAAAAAUAUAAAUAAAUGGCUUAAUUUGGAAAAUUGUCUGCUAUUUAUUUUUGGGGCCACUGCUUAUUACACUUGCACAAAUCAAUCUUAGAAUCCAUACAAAGUUGAUUGCUGUUUAUUUAGCCUACCCAGGUUUAUAUGAACCAGCGCUAUUACUCCUGUCAGUGUAAUAAAAUAUUCAACAUCUGACCGCAGCCUCCAGCGACUAUACGAUUGAAUUUCCACAUGAACUGAGCAUUAUGCUUUGCCAGACUGUCUUGCUCUUAACUAGUUGUAAUUUGACAGUCUAUUGGGCGCAUGCAUGAAUUAUAUCUAAAAUUAAAAAGCUCAUCUGAAAAAUUCCCUAAAGGCUUGUCCAGUAAGAUAGUUAUGUUAAGUGCAACGCCUCACUGUGCGUCCCACUUCAGACACCGUGGAGCCACCCGUCCCUCUGUCUCGGAAGUGUUUACUG
ensembl:lncRNA